GAUGAACGCUAGCGAUAGGCCUAACACAUGCAAGUCGAGGGGCAGCAUAGAGUAGCAAUACUUUGAUGGCGACCGGCGCACGGGUGAGUAACACGUAUGCAACCUACCUACAUCAGGGGAAUAACCCGGAGAAAUUCGGACUAAUACCGCAUAAUACAGGGAUGCCGCAUGGCAAUAUUUGUUAAAGAUUUAUCGGAUGAAGAUGGGCAUGCGUUCCAUUAGCUAGUUGGUAAGGUAACGGCUUACCAAGGCAACGAUGGAUAGGGGAACUGAGAGGUUUGUCCCCCACACUGGAACUGAGACACGGACCAGACUCCUACGGGAGGCAGCAGUGAGGAAUAUUGGUCAAUGGACGAGAGUCUGAGCCAGCCAAAUCGCGUGAAGGAAGACUGCCCUACGGGUUGUAAACUUCUUUUGUACAGGAAUAAAAGACAUUACGUGUAAUGUAUUGCAUGUACUGUACGAAUAAGCAUCGGCUAACUCCGUGCCAGCCGCCGCAGUAA
rnacentral:rRNA from 1 species